rnacentral:rRNA from 1 species
AUUGAACGCUGGCGGCAUGCCUUACACAUGCAAGUCGAACGGCAGCACGGGAGCAAUCCUGGUGGCGAGUGGCGAACGGGUGAGUAAUGUAUCGGAACGUACCUUUCAGUGGGGGAUAACGUAGCGAAAGUUACGCUAAUACCGCAUAUUCUGUGAGCAGGAAAGCAGGGGAUCGCAAGACCUUGCGCUGAUUGAGCGGCCGAUAUCAGAUUAGCUAGUUGGUGAGGUAAAGGCUCACCAAGGCGACGAUCUGUAGCGGGUCUGAGAGGAUGAUCCGCCACACUGGAACUGAGACACGGUCCAGACUCCUACGGGAGGCAGCAGUGGGGAAUUUUGGACAAUGGGCGCAAGCCUGAUCCAGCCAUGCCGCGUGAGUGAAGAAGGCCUCGGUUGUAAGACGUC